CCAGUGCGAGCUCCAGCUGCAGGGGGAGCGGGAGGAGGAAUUCUGGACAUGGAAAGCUGCUGGAUUCUCUCCAGGGCAGAGCCAGAGAAGGAGGGGCUGGUGCAUCCCCAAGGACCAGAGCUCUCCAGAGUGCCUGGGAUGGCUGCUGGGAGGAGCUGGCUCCAACUGCCAUUCACUCUGCUUGGAGAGUCAGCCCAUGCCAAGAGGGAAUGCACAGGAUUGGGCCCUGCUCCUCUGCUCCUGCCUUCAGAGGCAGCUCCCCCUGCCUGGAAUCCCCUUCCUGCCCUGGGAAUGGAUCUUCUGUGAGCCCAAGGCCUUUGCUGCUCCAUGUCUGCAUUUCCCCGUCCGGGUGUCUGGCCAGGGCUGAAAUUUUUGCCUAAAAAAAGGGAUUAGGAGGGAUCUGGCAGCCUUGUCCUGUCAGAAGCCUGCUGUGGUUGAACUGGGCACCGUUGCAGGUGGCAGGAUGGAUCCUGCCCAGAGCUGUGGCAUUCCCAGUGCUCCCAGUGGAAGCUGCUCCGUUUCCAUCGCUCUGCCCCUUCUCGGGGCUGGGGAGGUGUGGGGGUCUCAGAGGUGGCUGAACUCCUGCAUUCCCCCUCUGGAGCCAGGCAUGGAGCAGCAGGAGCCCCCUGGGCCUCCCAGUGCCUCUGCCCUCCCUGGAGCCUGGAAUUCUGUACAGUAUCCUUAGGGACAGUGUAUAUUCUGUACAUAGUCCGUGUGUGUCCGUGCACAGCUCUGGGGGCCCUGCUGGCCCCAAACACUCUGUAAAGUAGAAAAUAUUAGUUUAAAAAAAAACAAACCUGAA